GACGAACGCUGGCGGCGUGCCUAAUACAUGCAAGUCGAACGCAGUUGCGAACGGGUGAGUCACGCGUAGGUAACUGCCUCAUAGCGGGGGAUAACUAAUGGACACGAUAGCUAAUACCGCCUCCUGUGAGAUGGACCUGCGUUGUAUUAGCUAGUUGGUGAGGUAAAGGCUCACCAAGGCGACGAUACAUAGCCUACCUGAGAGGGGGAUAGGCCAAAAUGGGACUGAGACACGGCUCAGAAUCCGACGGGAGGCAGGAGUAGGGAAACUUCGGAAAAGGACGGAAGGCGGACCGAGCAAAGCCGCGUGAGUGAAGGAGGGUUUCGGAUCGGAAAGGUCUGUUAUGAGAGAAGCGUUAACUAACCAGAAAGGGACGGCUAACUACGUGCCAGCAGCCGCGGUAAUUC
rnacentral:rRNA from 1 species